AGCGAACGCUGGCGGCGUGCCUAACACAUGCAAGUCGAGCGAGAAAGGGGUGGCAACACCCUGAGUAAAGCGGCGAACGGGUGAGUAACGCGUGGGCAAUCUACCUUCCAGUCUGGGAUAACCUUCCGAAAGGGGGGCUAAUACCGGAUGAUGUCCUGUUGGGGCAUCCUGAGGGGAGCAAAGGGGGCGACCCGCAAGGGGCUCUCGCUGGAGGGAGGAGCCUGCGUCCGAUUAGCUAGNGGUGGGGUAACGGCUCACCAAGGCGACGAUCGGUAGCCGGCCUGAGAGGGCGGUCGGCCACACUGACACUGAC
rnacentral:rRNA from 1 species